GCCUCAAAUUCCUGACAAGUGUUAAGGACGUGUUAAUCCAACAUCCACCCACAUCGUAGACGAAGGCAGUCACCUACCUAUGUUCUUCAUUCUUGCCUAUUUAUUGUACGAUGCGACGACACGCGUUAGCCGCCAUGUCUUCUGGGUUGGAAGAUGGGAUGAUCCUUAUAUAUGGACUUCGACUGCAUAUUUCAAGUUUGGAAUAGAAGUAUUAAUACGUACCUCUCCGUAACGGCGGUGCUACCGUCCAGGCGCAGAUACUGAUACCUCCUGAUGGUGAGGUAGGGCUCGAGGAUGUCCAGCAUCAUCGUGAACUGACUGAAGAUGAGCACCCGGUGGCCGCCCGCCUUCAGCUUCGGCAGCAUCUCGUCCAGCUUUUGGAACUUUCCAGAGUCCAGGAUCAGCGACUCCGGUAUCGUGUGCUGUUUGCACUGGGAGACGCGGCAGCAGUUAGUAUCGGACUAGUGACAGUGACAGUGAAUCGGGCUAGUGACAGUGACAGUGACAGUGGCGAAAUUCGGAGUUCGCUCUUUUCCUAAAUGUCGGUAGCACUAUGUCAACUUUGACGGGAUUUAUUUAUUUACCGCGGUUGACGCCGCGGGGCGAAGCUAGUCUAAAAAAAGUAGCCUAAGUUGAUUAUAUGAUCAGAUACCUAUCAGUGAAAGUCCCGUCAAAAUCGGUCCAGCCGUUCCAGAGAUUAGCCGGAACAAACAGACAGACAAACAUUGUAAAAAAAUAUAUUUUAGUGUAUGUACCGUAUAUAUGUUCAUAUGCAUGUAGUAAAAAGUUAUUUCAAUAUUACAAACAGACACUCCAACUUUAUUGAUAUGUAUAGAUAUGCUUUUGUCAGCUAGUCCUGUGUCUAUAUUAAUGUAUGUAUGUAUGUAUAUAUGAUGGAAUUUUCAAAAUAAAUUUCACCGCAAAACUUUUGAUUGAUUCGGUUAAAAAAAUUUUACUCGGUUUUCAUAUAUGUCUUUUUUUAUUAAUUUUUUAUUUACAUACAUUAAUUGGUGGGCAUUCAAUAUAUGUACGUAUACAAAUUGACGCGCGAAAGAACUUAAAGAUAGGUCAGUAUAUGCGGGUAGAUUCAAUUCAACGGUAGCUAUUAACAUGUUAAUGGUCUACUAAUAUAUAGACACGUGGCCCUUCCAACAGAGCUGAGCAGCAUAUCCAUACCCAGACAAUAGACCGGACGGUGAUGUCUUGCCUAUUUGAAGGGGGGAAUCAGACCACUGAUCUUAAUUACUGGUGGUAGGACCUCUUGUGAGUCCGCGCGGGUAGGUACCACCGCCCUGCUUAUUUCUGCCGUUAAGCAGUAAUGCGUUUCGGUUUGAAGGGUGGGGCAACCGUUUAACUAUACUUGAGACCUUAGAAUUUAUAUCUCAAGGUGAGUGGCGCAUUUACGUUGUAGAUGUCUAUGGGCUUCAGUAACCACAUAGAACCAGGUGGGCUGUGAGAUCGUCCACUCUUCGAAGCAAUAAAAAAAAAGU